GUGUUCACUCAUGGGCACACCCCACCUCUGCAUGAGAGAUGGUUCAUGCAUGUGUCUUGCUCACCUCAGCAGGGAGGGUUUUUACACAUGUGCACAGCCCCACCUUGGUGUGGGAGGAGGUCACCCAUGCAGAGCGCCACCCUUCAAUGAGGGAAUAGUGAUGCCACUAUUAAAUGUGACGUUUCAUGAAUGGUUCUUUUCAAUUUCACAGCUGAAGUAGCAGACAACUCUUAAGCUGAAGAAGCAUGCAUCACUUAAACUGAAGAAACACAGCUGAAGAAACGCGGCCAGGGAGGGCAUUGACGUAUGCUCCCCGCUCCCCUCGCCAGGAUGGUGUUCAUGUAUGUGCAAAGCCCCCCCCUCCUUGCCAAAGGGGGUUCAGGCAUGCCCACAACACCCGCUCUGUGAGGCAGACCAUUUGUACAGGCACACAACCCUCCCUCAGCAAGGGACAGCGUUCAUGCUUGGCCCCACUCACCUCGGUGGGAAGGGUGUUUACACAUGCACAUAACCCCCCUCAGCAUUGGAGGGCGUUCAA